rnacentral:rRNA from 1 species
GAUGAACGCUAGCGACAGGCUUAACACAUGCAAGUCGAGGGGCAGCAUAGAAGUAGCAAUACUUUGGUGGCGACCGGCGCACGGGUGAGUAACGCGUAUGCAACCUACCUAUCAGAGGGGGAUAACCCGGCGAAAGUCGGACUAAUACCGCAUAAGACAGGGGCACCGCAUGGUGAUAUUUGUUGAAGAUUAAUUGCUGAUAGAUGGGCAUGCGUUCCAUUAGGUAGUUGGUGGGGUAAUGGCUCACCAAGCCGACGAUGGAUAGGGGAACUGAGAGGUUGGUCCCCCACACUGGUACUGAGACACGGACCAGACUCCUACGGGAGGCAGCAGUGAGGAAUAUUGGUCAAUGGGCGAGAGCCUGAACCAGCCAAGUCGCGUGAAGGAAGAAGGAUCUAUGGUUCGUAAACUUCUUUUGCAGGGGAAUAAAGUGGAGGACGUGUCCUCUUUUGUAUGUACCCUGAGAAUAAGGAUCGGCUAACUCCGUGCCAGCAGCCGCGGUAAUAC